rnacentral:rRNA from 1 species
CACCGCGGUUAUACGAGGGACCCACGUAGACAGACACCGGCGUAAAGAGUGGUUAAUAGCCCCCCCCCCCACUAAAGUCGAACAUCUUCAAAGCUGUUAUACGCAUCCGAAAACAGGAAGCCCUAAAACGAAAGUGACUUUAAACUCUAUGAACCCACGAAAGCUAGAAAA